CCUACGGGUGGCAGCAGUGAGGAAUAUUGGUCAAUGGGCGAGAGCCUGAACCAGCCAAGUCGCGUGAAGGAUGACGGCUCUAUGGGUUGUAAACUUCUUUUAUAUGGGAAUAAAGUGAGAAACGUGUUCCUGUUUGUAUGUACCAUAUGAAUAAGCAUCGGCUAACUCCGUGCCAGCAGCCGCGGUAAUACGGAGGAUGCGAGCGUUAUCCGGAUUUAUUGGGUUUAAAGGGUGCGUAGGUGGUGAAUUAAGUCAGAGGUGAAAGUUUGUGGCUCAACCAUAAAAUUGCCGUUGAAACUGGUUGACUUGAGUAUAUGUGCGGUAGGCGGAAUGCGUGGUGUAGCGGUGAAAUGCAUAGAUAUCACGCAGAACACCGAUUGCGAAGGCAGCUUACUAAACUAUAUCUGACGCUGAGGCACGAAAGCGUGGGUAUCAAACAGGAUUAGAUACCCGAGUAGUC
rnacentral:rRNA from 1 species